rnacentral:rRNA from 1 species
GAUCAUGGCUCAGAUUGAACGCUGGCGGCAGGCCUAACACAUGCAAGUCGAGCGGAUGACGGGAGCUUGCUCCUUGAUUCAGCGGCGGACGGGUGAGUAAUGCCUAGGAAUCUGCCUGGUAGUGGGGGACAACGUUUCGAAAGGAACGCUAAUACCGCAUACGUCCUACGGGAGAAAGCAGGGGACCUUCGGGCCUUGCG